rnacentral:pre_miRNA from 1 species
UUAAUACUCCCUCCAUCCAGAAAUACUUGUCCUAGAAAUGGAUGUAUCUAGACUUAUUUUAGUUAUAGAUACAUCCAAUUUAUCCAUUUUGAGAACAAAUAUUUCUGGACGGAGGGAGUACCUA